rnacentral:rRNA from 1 species
AGGAAUAUUGGACAAUGGAGGCAACUCUGAUCCAGCCAUGCCGCGUGAAGGAAUAAGGCCCUAUGGGUUGUAAACUUCUUUUAGACGGGACAAAACCCCUUUACGUGUAAAGGGUUGAUGGUACUGUCAGAAUAAGCAUCGGCUAACUUCGUGCCAGCAGCCGCGGUAAUACGAAGGAUGCAAGCGUUUUCCGGAAUUAUUGGGUGUAAAGGGUGCGUAGGCGGACUAAUAAGUCAGUGGUGAAAGCCUGCAGCUUAACUGCAGAAUUGCCAUUGAUACUGUUAGUCUUGAGUACAGUUGAGGUAGGCGGAAUGGGUCAUGUAGCGGUGAAAUGCUGAGAUAUGACACAGAACACCGAUUGCGAAGGCAGCUUGCUAAGCUGUAAC